rnacentral:rRNA from 1 species
UAACGCGUGAGGAACCUGCCUCAAAGAGGGGGACAACAGUUGGAAACGACUGCUAAUACCGCAUAAGCCCACAGCUCGGCAUCGAGCAGAGGAAAGGAGUGAUCCGCUUUGAGAUGGCCUCGCGUCCGAUUAGCUAGUUGGUGAGGUAAUGGCCCACCAAGGCGACGAUCGGUAGCCGGACUGAGAGGUUGAACGGCCACAUUGGGACUGAGACACGGCCCAG